GACGAACGCUGGCGGCGUGCCUAACACAUGCAAGUCGAACGAGGUCCAAGGAGUGCUUGCACUCCUGAAGACCUAGUGGCGAACGGGUGAGUAACACGUGAGAAACCUGCCCCAGACUCUGGGAUAACCCAAGGAAACUUGAGCUAAUACCGGAUACCCUCCUGCGGUCGCAUGGCUGCUUGAGGAAAGUUUUUCGGUCU
rnacentral:rRNA from 1 species